rnacentral:lncRNA from 1 species
ACAUCAUCCAGGAGGAUCCUCCUGAUGGGGCUGUCCACAUGGCCAUUUCUUGGAGAGACUCCUUCCCCUCCAGGAGACUGUCAAACAUGAUGACAACACCACCCCAACGGGUGUUGCUGGGCAGCUUCAAUGUAGUGCUCUUAUUCUUCUCACUUUGCUUGGUGAGGUAGAUUGCUGCUAUAACUUGAUAACCCUUCACAUACCUAACCAUUUCCUUGGCUCUCUUGUAGAGUGGAUCCAUUGUUUUCAGUGCCAUGAUGUCCUUGAGGAGCAGCACAGCCAAUGGGUGUGAUGUGUGGGUAGGACUCCUCCACUUUAGACCAAGCAGCCUUCAUGUUUGUGGCAUUGUCUGUCUCCAGUGCAAAUACCUUCUGUGGUCCAAGGUCAUUGAUAACUGCCUUCAGAUCAUCUGCAAUCAUCAGAGGUGAACCACUUGCGUACACAGGUCGAGCAAGACAUUCAUCAGCAUUUGUCUGACUACGUUUCUCCAUUGAGUCAAAAAAACUUCUGAUUCCAGGAGGAUCAUGAGCUGUUGCUAUCGAUAAGGUGUCAUUUUCACCUCGAAUAGAAGUAGAGGGACUUUUGUCAGAGGUUGCUUGUUGUGAGCGCUGAGGGAACUUUAUGCACUUGGCCAGAUGAUUCUGCAUCUUUGUUGCAUUCUUCAAAUAUGAUUUGGCACAGUAUUUGCAAAUGUACACAGCUUUUCCUUCUACAUUAGCUGCAGUGAAAUGUCUCCACACAUCAGAUAGUGCACGUGGCAUUUUCCUGUAAAGAUUAGAAAGAAAUUAGUAAAAAAUAAAUAAUAAUAAUACAAUUCCAUGUACAGAUAAAUAGUUAAGCAGUUAGAUUAAACUCCUUUGUAAGAUAAAUUUUUUAAAAUGAAACAUGUAUGGAAACAGGUGAAUUAACACUCCUCAGAUAGCAGACUCAAGCAAGCUAAAACCCACAUGGUAGCAAGAACUAACUAGCAGAAAUUGUUAACAAGUUUGAAAUGAUUUAAACACACUUUGCUGUAGGCUACUAUUUACUAGUUAACAAAAAAUCAUGUAUGUCAUAUAAAAUAUAUUCACCCCACCCAGUAUUUUAAUCAAAACUUACCAGAAAGCAUGUAGUCCUUGGCUCAGACAGUGUAGUAG